rnacentral:tRNA from 1 species
AAGUUAGAAGCGAAUUUUGCAUUUAGUUUCGACCUAAAAAUAUGGUUAAUUAACCCUAACUUA